rnacentral:tRNA from 1 species
UCCCUGGUGGUCCAGUGGUUAGGACUCCAAGUUUUCAUUGGCGGGAACCCGGGUUCAAGCCCUGGUCAGGGAG